GCAGCUUGCCUGUUACUGGGGCUCUCGGACUGGCUUAAUGAGGUGCACCCAGCCGGGGCUAUUGUGCAGCGCGACCAAGACGGGAGCGAGACUGCAAGAAUCUUAGCAGCUGCUAGCAGCAGCCGGAGCUGCAGCAGCUACUAAGCCCAGACCUCAAGUGGAUGAUGACUCUGGAAGUGUUUUCCUGAAGGAACCCGCCAGACUUUGGAAGACCGUGGCAGGGCUAGAGAACUUAGAUGGGGCUUUCCUGUUGUACACUUGAACUGGCUGGAGGCAAAUGCCGGUCGCUCGGAGAUACCUUAGUCCUCCAGCCUUCCCAGUUCUGCGCCCAGCAAAAGCAGUUUUGAAAAAUUAAGUGCAAAAAAGCAUGACAAAACAAUAUGAGGUUGCUGUGGUAGCGUCAUUAGAGGCCGUCAUUCUUAGAUUUUAAAUCCUGAAUGAGAACCAAAUACUGCAUAUAGGAAGUUGGGGACCUCAGAGGUAAGAGGAAGGUGCUUCUUACUCUCCUUGCCAUAAUAGUGUUGUCUGUCCCACUCCCAUUAUUGGGAGAAAAGUACAGAUCCUUUCUACGUGCUAGGUUGCUGUAUUAGCUGACUUAAAGUUGGACGUAUAUUGUGGGAAACAGUUCCUCAGUUUUACUUUUUGAUCUCGUUCAUUCUCUGAUAAUGGCUAUCCACUAUACCACAGUGUUUGUGGUAUGGCAAAGUUAACAAUUCUAAGUUUGAUGGAGGCUCAACUUCUGUUUUGGAAGAUUGUAAACUCUAGCUAGAUGUCGUACGGGAAAAACUGUACUUCUCAGUAGUUUUGACCUAUUGUUGUUGUUGUUGUUGUCAUUAUUAUUAUUAUUAUCAUCAUCAUCAUCAUCUGGAACUAGUUGUUGUUUUAUUUAUCUAGGGCUUUUGCCAUAGAUUCCUAUAUUGGA